rnacentral:lncRNA from 1 species
AUCUGGACCCAGUUAGUGAUGAGGCUUGCAGCCGUAGCUGCUAAAGGCAGAGAACAGAGUUUCAGGACGAACAGCAACAAGGAAGCAGCACUGGCCGUUUGCCCUUUUCUGGUCUGUAAUCUGGGUUGCUGCUGGAUGUGCUGGGCUCCUCUUGUUGCUCUACUCAUCCCCCAGCCCUUGGUUCCCUGUCCGCCUACCUCUCCAUCUUCCACACCUACCCGUCAUGUUCGUUUUUCACCGCCCAGCUCACACAUCAUCUCCCUGGGAACUCCCCCCCACUCCUCAACCCCCCACCUGCUUCUGCCACUAUGCGUUCCUCACUUCUCCGUGUUUCCGCAGCCCUUGGUUCUUCAUAAUUUGGUGAUUCUCUGCAUCCUGGUUUUGCGCAUCAGCCGUGAUGCCUGAAAGGAUGGCUGAGUUUUCACGUUUUCCACAGAUGCAGGUGUAUAAUAAUGAGCAGUAAAUGUCACAUCAAGGGAUGCUCCCAUUUGGAGGGCAGCAGUGAUGGCGUCUUCCCACUGCUGUCUUCCCCUUGGUGCCCAGAAAAUUGUAGGUGCUUAUUAAUCGUUCUUGGUAAAUCCACCUGUACACCCGCGUUUGGGGGCAAAAAAAGAGAAAAGAGAUAAACAAGCAGAUUGAAAGGGUUUGAUUAAAACGUAGGGGGUGAACUAGGACGGUGUGUGGAUUGGAAUCCACAUUUCAGGAGGUUUCCUGAAGGAGGAGAGGAGGUGCAGGGAGACAAGGACUGAGAAGCAGCCCUUGGAUUCGCACAACGCACCUGUUUGAAGGCGCUUUGAACGCGCUGUCUUGGACGAGAAGGGAGGACCAGGUUCAGAGUGGCCUGAGGACUGAGCGGGGUAGGGAGGUGGAGACGGUACCUGCUGAGGUUUGGCUGCGACAGGAAAAUGCCGGGGAGGGGGAAACGGAAUGGGUAUGUUAAGAGGAUCACGUGUAAGCAUAUUUCUAGGCUGAGAGGAAAGAUCUAGAAAGAACAAAUGAUUAUCCCUAUGUAACAGACCUACACUAAUGAGCUAGAAGAGGUAUAUUUUCGAAGUUCUUUUAAACAUUUCCUUUGUAACUGUAGUUUUUAUCUCCCAGUUCCUAGUUCUAUGUCACUAGACACUUGUAUCCUGGAACUUAGCAUCCUCGUUUCUCACAUGAGAUAACAAGGUCUUAUCCAAAGGCUUUGGAGAGAGUUAGACAAGAUAAUGAAUGCGAAACAUCUAAGGUGCUGGUUGGCAUGGGGGAGGGUGUAACAAAAACUUGUGGUCUUUCCCCUUAUCACACUUUCUCUUUGCAAGCAGUACAGGGGUCCAUUAGGACCUGAUCUACAGUCCAACUUCCAUAAAGUUGCAGAUAGAAGGGUGUGGCUGAAACUGAAUUGCCUGGAUUUGAGUUAGAGAUUUUCAGCUUUGAUGUGGGUAUCCAACCUGGUAACCGUCGUUCAGAUCACGCGUGGGUCUGGAGGGUUAUCUGUAUUAAUGCCCCAGCUAUUUCCCUAAUCAGAAUAAAGAAUCUAGGAGGAGGGUGUGCUUAUUAUACAAAAUUAACUGUUUAUACUUACCCCGAAGUUCAUGAGGAUCUAGAAUUAGUAGCCAGUUGCUGGACCAAAGAAGUUAAAAUACUGUUAUCACUUAACUACAAGGAGUUUGGUGAAGGACCUAUGGGGUCUAUCUCUUUCUAUCAAUGGUGAAUUACAUCCAGAAUCUAGUGGCUUUUCCCAAAAAUUAUAUUGCUAUGUAUUCAUAGAGCCCAUGCCUUUUCCAGAGCUUUCUGUACUUUCCAAAGAAUUAAAUUUUUUUUUAGUUGUCACCAGGUAGAGAAAUAGCAAUUAUGACCCAAUAUUGGCAGAUACAAAAUGAGGUAGACACUCAAUGUCACUCAAGAAACUGAUACUCAUAUGAGAUGGGGCUUCUCUGGAGGGCUGAUGCUUGAUCAGAUAUAAUCCAAGGAGAUUUCGGCAUUGCUAAGUCCCAGAAAGACUAGACGUUUUAGAGUUUCACAUUUCUUGUUGCUGUUGUUGCACUUCCACCUCUGCCACUUGUUAGCUAUGUGACUUUGAGCAAAUCACUUAACCUCUCUCUACAUCAGCUUCCUUACGUGUGGAAGAGAGCUUCAUUUAUUGGAUAAUUACGAGGACUAAAUGAGAUGAUGCACGUCCAGGUUCUAGUUUAGGGCUUUGCUCCUGGUGGACACAUUUCAGAACACGGUCCUUUCCUUUAGCAAACAGCUGGAUAAACCAAGCACGAGGUAAACGUUAGUGUCCUGUGCAGGAUGCACCAAGGAUGCUUUUCUUCCUGACGAAAUUCUUUACAUGGUGAUGGAAUGAUUUGCUUCAUAGACACUGUGAUUCUUAAUUCUUUGGGAGUGGAGGUCAGUUCUCUUGUCUGAUAUAACUUUGACAAGCCAGUAAGCAGUCACUUUAGGAGCAGGGACAGAAUAAGUGUCACGAAUAACAACUGGCAGGACUUUCUCAACAUAUUGAGGCUCUGUGGUUUGCAGGAAUAAGACCGAGAAAUAACUGGUCAGAAAUGUGACUUCCAGAUAGAGUGGCCAUGCAGUUCUCUCCAGCUUGGUCAUUGAGAUGAUACAAUGUUGUCCUCACAUUUGGAAUCGUCCAGAUCAGCUGGAUGAGCAGGACUAAGGCCAUUGCCCAGUCUUCGACUCUUGAGAGGCUGAAAUGCCAAUAGCAUGAGACGGUCUGAGAUCUUAGCUGUAAAAUGGCCAUCUUGUGAGAAAAAAGAACCAAAACUCUGAAAAACUCUAAUCCCGGCUACAGGGCUCUCGCCUCCCAGAGAGAUCCUUUACUCCCCUUCUCCUGGGAGAUUUUCUCACCCAGGCUUUACAGAGGCCACAUGUUGUCAGCAAUUUGUGAAUAUGAAUAAUGUGAUUUACAUUCCUUUGAUUUAAUAUAAUGAUUAAGCGUCUUUGUACUCUGUUCCGAUUCACUGAAAUGAAACAAUACAUUUUCUUAAAAAUCCUUUGUCCUUUAUUAGUAAUUUUUCCCCUUCCAAAUGUGCUGGGCUUUGGCAAAUGAAAGAAAGAUAAAUUUUGCUUUGAUUUGGUGGCGCAGAGCGCGUAAGAGGAAAUUAAAACGUUAGCUGGAAGGCGAGAGGGGACGGAACGGGGCAGGAAUUAAGUUAGUUGGAGCAGAUUGCUUUAUGGUUGUAAAUCAGCAGGGUUCUGAUAGAUGUAAGGCAUUCGUCUCUGCAUCCAAAGAGUUAUUUUUGCUUUUCAACAAUUGCACAGGCCUGUUUUCCUCUGGGCAUUUAGAGAUGCCAUAGCCGAUCCUUAAUUAGAUGGAGGGAGCCCUUCUGACUGUAGGUAUAACCUGAUGGGUUCGUUGUGGGCUGAGAUUCGGAAAGGAUCUUCCUGCUUCCUUCUCCCUCCUAACCCCUGGGUGACCCAGAACUCAGUCCUUCGUGAAUUUCUCCUUUAAGAAAAUAUGAAAGCAAAAAAAUGUAAAGAGAGGCUUUAGAACAGCCUCCUAAAAAAGAUUCAAAAGGCCUUAUUGCAAAGGACCCUUUGAAAUGGAGAAAGGGCAAGACUGCAUUGGGAGCCUGGAAAGAAGGACCUCCUGGAUGCUUCCCGGUGAGGCCACCUGUCCUCUGGGCACUGGGAGGAAGGGCAAUGGGAUGUCUGGGGAGUGGGGAGAAUGUUCCAGGGAUAAAUGCUGGCAGGGGAGUUGCAGCAAUGGAUUUAUCAGGGGGGUGGGACACCUCUGCCCCUCUCUUUCUCUCCAUCCCAGCCUCAUCCACCAGAAAGAAGCUGGGCAGGGCUGCAGGUCUGGGUUCCAGCUGGGGCUCCGAGCAUCUGGGCAAGGAGUUUUCUGAAUUCCCUUGUCUGCAAAAUGGGAUUAGCGUUUGGGGCCCUGCACAUCUCAGAGGAUUUUGGUAAGGCUCACACAGACAACGUGGGAAAAUGCUUUGCAAAAUUUAAGCCGUUGACAAAAAUAUCCUCCUCUGAACCUAAGAACGGAGUUCCUGAACCUGGCUUUGCAUGACAUUCUCUCAGGGGGAGCUUUUAAAAUUAUAUCUCGUCCUUUCAGGUUCUAUGGCCAAAUCACAAGGGAUAGGAUCUGAAGUUGGAAGAAAAAAGAAAAAAAGCUAUAGAAAUAGAGGAAUAAAAGCAGUAAUUCUUAGGAUGACAGUGAUUACGAUGAAAAAUACAGCAAUUGCGAUGGACUUGAGAAGAGGUCUGAGGUCUCGCUUGUGUGAAUCCUGUGGAUUAGGGUUGGAACCUGUUCCUUCUCAGGCUCCAGGUUCUCAGGAGCCUUAGGGGACAGGCUUUCUAGGGGAUGGACCUUGACUAUCGAUGCCCAGUCCCUCUUUCAUGAAAGGGAAAGUCAAGGAAAUAAGUCUAUUUUAAGGGUCUUCUCUGCUUGGAAUGGUGUUGGGUCCACUUCAAGCAUUCGAGUGGCCCUGAGGAGUUCCCAGACCACUGGCCCCAGGAAACGGGGAGCUCCUGGCUGGAAUAGGGGGCCCAUCUCUCUGAGCAGAGCUGGAGGUUCUGUCGAGUGACUACAGCUUGGGUUGGUUAGGCUCUCUCCUCACCCUUCGGGGCUGAGCUGGUUUGCCUGCCAUCUUGCAAGGGCUGCAUGGUGUUCAAUCAACUAAUUCUGUUGAAACCUUGGAAGAGGAGACAACGUAUUGUGAUUGAAGUUCCUGAAAUCCCAGGAGGAAAGGAAGCAGAAAUGGGUGGCCUCAAAUUCAGGCUGAAGAUCAAUGCAGUGUUGCGGGGACUAGCCCUGCCAAGCACGCCAUCACAGCAGGCAGCGUGGAGCUUGCAAAUCGGCUCCCACUUCAAUCAAAAGAUCCCAGCAGCCUGGAAGUUUUUGGUCUCUGCUUCUUCUCACUUAUUCCUUAAGGAUCACAGCUGACUGUUUCUAAGGAGCCGCAAACAACAGCCUGUUCAUUUGCUCAUUCGCUCAGGGAUACGUUCAUAUGAAGCAUCGCUCCGAAACCAUUUCUUCUAUGAGGAUUGCAGGGGCCACAGCAGAACAUUUCAAAACAGUUCUCCAAGAACAUUCAGAAACAGGUCUCAAAGGCACACUGAUUAUUUCCAGUUGCUUUAAAAAACAAACAAACAAACAAACAAAAAAACCCAUUUAAAGAGCCAGGGGCUCCAUGAGGAUAUGAAAGUGGGUGAGUGUUUUGAAUGCAAGAGACGGGGACGUAUAAUGGUCCAGAGGAUCUGGCCUGUUUGUUUGUCAUCUCCUCUGAGUCUCGGGGUUCUCCGUAGUUGUAUAUAUUUAAACUUGGUAAUGUGUCGUCAGGUUAGUACAGCGUAUGCUGUCUGGGUCCGUGAUGCUUGUGGUUCCUUUCGAUUUUCUCUGCUCGCUGUCCCGUCUGACUGCCAAACAGCUGUGGACUCUGUUCCUGUCCUUUGAAUCCCAUCACCCAGGCCUCCUAGGCCCCCAUUUCUCACUUGGGGAAAAGUCACGCCUCGUGCUGGCCUUCUCCUCAGCUCUCUUGCCUUUUUGCCUCCAACGUCCUCUUCAUGCCAGACUUGUUCUCAUAGAUGGAAUGGGUGUGUCCCCCUCAAAAUUUAUAUAUCGAAAUGCUAAUUCUCCAUGCGAUGGUGGUUGGAGGUGGGAACUUCGGGAGCUAAUUAAGUCACGAGGGUGGAGCCCUCAGAAAAGGGACCCACGGAGUUCCCACUGUGGCGUGACGGGAGCAGCCAGAACACAGGUUUGAUCCCCAGUCCAGCACAGUGGCUUUAAGG